rnacentral:rRNA from 1 species
GAUGAACGCUAGCGGCAGGCCUAAUACAUGCAAGCUGAACGGUAAAUAUUAUAGCAAUAUGAUAUGAGAGUAGCGUAAGGGUGCGUAACACGUAUGCAAUCUGCCCUGUACAGGAGGAUAGCUCGGCGAAAGCCGGAUUAAUACUCCGUAAUAUUAUGAGGAGGCAUCUUUUUAUAAUUAAAGUCGCAAGAUGGUACAGGAUGAGCAUGCGUCUGAUUAGCUAGUUGGUAGUGUAACGGACUACCAAGGCGAUGAUCAGUAGGGGAACUGAGAGGUCGAUCCCCCACACUGGCACUGAGAUACGGGCCAGACUCCUACGGGAGGCAGCAGUAGGGAAUAUUGGUCAAUGGAUGCAAGUCUGAACCAGCCAUGCCGCGUGCAGGAAGAAGGCCUUCUGGGUUGUAAACUGCUUUUGCCGGGGGAUAAAAUUCCCAUGCGUGGGACAUUGAAGGUACCCGGUGAAUAAGCCACGGCUAAC